GCUGCUCUUUCUCUAUCUGUCUGUCUGUCCGCCUGUCUCUGUCUCUCUGCCACACAGCUAACGGCAGGCUAGCUUGACAACAGCACCACGUAACAACGUCGAAGUCUCGGUCAGCCUAAUGACAGAACACGCCUGUGUUUCUUCUUAUAUCGUCAGCGUCCUCUACAAAUCCCCCUCUUCUUUUCCUCUCCACUAACGGUUCAUGUCAUGCGUUCAUGAUCAGGAUCGUCUCUGCAACACACCGAGGAGCUAACGUUAACAUUCCACUGAGGGCUGAGGAGCACCACCAAGUGCCAGUGACUCUGGACACUUUGUACUGCAACCGUGCCAUCUAUGAAGAUAUGGCAAAGAUAAUGGCGGACAACGGCUACAAUCAGUCCUGGCUCUAGUGUCAGCGAAAAAUGAAACACCUCAAACUUGUGACACGAAGGCAAACAAUACUAACAAAAGGAGUGGUAGGGGCAGUGCAACUUGUCCCUUUUUCGAAGACAUCGAUGCACUGCUCCGCAAUAGACCCGCAUAUAGCCCUGGUCUGGGGGACGGGUUAAAUCUGAGGACAUCGUUACCAUGGAGCCCACCAACAGUGAGGAGGACAGUUGGACUGGAGUAAUGCCAGACAACCAGCCUGAUGAUUGCGAUGAUUGUGCCAGGACACCGACCUCAGAAGCCACAGAAGCAACCCCCAAUGCAGCAGAGAGCUCCAAAUCCCUUUGCCAUCAGUACCUUGUGAACUAUCAGCUAAAACCCUCACAAAGCCAAUUAGCCAUGAUCUAGGGAGGAGACCUAAAAGGAAUGUACAGCCCCCUGACUACUAUGGGACUCCGCCACAGCAGAGGCUGUCCACACAGUCCCAUGGCUCAUUGAGUUACCACAGCAGGAAGACUUAAAGCACCAAGUCAGUCUCUAGUCUUCCAACAAGAUUGCAACUUAGUAGGCAUUCCAGGAGCAGCCAUGCCUUUAAUUUGAGUGAUCUCCAAACCAGCAUUCUUGAGGAAAAGAGAAUAAGAGAUGAACAGGAGGAACUUAAAAGACAAAGAAAGGAGGAGAAUGAACUUGAUGAACAAGGUAAAUUUUUUGAUGAGAAGGCCAGAGCUGCCCAGCAUAUGCAAGAAGACGCACACAAGGAGAGAGACAGAGUUGUCAGAGAGGUUAACAUGAACCGACGCGUUCGUAUUAAAGAACAACAGCUCGAGUCAGCCCAGCUUGUUUCUGCUUUUAUUUGACAGAACCUCUCCAAAGAUGCUGAAGAUGAUCACCUCAAAGGAGCUUCCACUUUUACUCCCAUAUCUCUUCCUGAUAAUGUAGCCGCCUCAUCCUUCAAUGACCUGCCUCAUUCCAGGGUGUUCACUCUUGCCCACACUAAUUUGGGGUAUGCUGACUCUGACUCUUAUUCAGCUUUGAGUUCCUCAUUUUCCAAACUUGGCCUCCCAAAAGGGGAGCUAAGAGACAAAUUUCUUCCCAGGCCUCAACCAAGUCAGCAAAGCAUAGCUACUGACCAAGCUGCAUUCACUUUGCCCUCCAUAGUUAUUGCUCAAGCUGUGCCCACUUUGCCCUCCAUAGCUAGUGCCCAAGCUGCACCUAGUUUGCCCUCCAUAGUCACUGUCCAAGCCCGUAAUUAUAUUGCAUCCCUGACUGAUCCUAAACAGCCCACUUUCACUGGUGGUCAGUUACCGAUGCAAGCUAUGUCAUUCCAGCAGCCACAUUCUGCUUACACACAUAUUCAAACCCCCAAUGUUAUGGAGUUCAUGGAUCUGCCUAUGGAAUACCAAGGCCCUCACUUCCUGUGUUCAAGAGUGGUCAAGAGAGUGAUUUUGCCCUCCUGAAAAUGGCUUUGGAUAACAUCCUUGACAAUCAUGCUCAACUUACUGAGCAGUUUAAAUAUCAGAUUCUUUUGGAACAUCUUGAACACCCAGGUGUUAAGAAAUUAGCCAGAUCCAGCAUGCAUGAUGCAAGACCAUAUUCCACCACCCUCGAAGCACUACAAGAGAAGUAUGGUCAGCCAACGUUGCUAGUUCAUAGUAAAAUUGGAGCAGUAUUGAAUUCUCCCAUUGUUCACUUAGGUGAUGUAGAGGCCUUUGAUGAUUUCUCCCUUUUUGUCCUUGCGCUUGUGAGAAUGUUGCUGUCCCUAGAGGGCCCUGAUGGGUCUGAAUUAAAAUGUGGCUCUCAUGUUGACAGACUCCUCAGUAAACUCCCUGUGCCGCACAGAGAUUGAUUUGUUGAGCACUGUAUCAAUCGUAGCAUUCUGACUGAGCAAGCAAACCAGACGUACUCCCUCCUUGACCUUUCAACCUGGCUACAGUCAAAGUCAAGAGCCAAACGUAUAUCGGAGAGAGCGGUUGAGCUCCACCAACUGGAAAGGAACGCAAGCCCUCCAGGCAAGUCUCCUUAGUCUACUUGUCGACAACAUCUGAGAUGGAUGGCACAACACAAGCCUACACCAAAGAAAAGGUAAAUGCUAAUAAGCCUAAGCCUUACUGUCCCUACUGUGAUAUCAGAAACCAUUUCCUUGGUUCAUGUACAGAAUUCAAAAACCUCUAAAAAUGACAUUGUGAAAUGGAUCAAAGAGAAGGAGAGAUGUAGUAAAUGUGGGAGGAUACACAAAAUGGACUAAUGCACCUUAAGGAGGCCAUGUAACAUCUCUAAGGAAAUUCAUCUCACUGUUCUCCAUGAUGUCAAUGUCAAUAAAUCUGCCACAGUGAUGUUAACAUCUUCUCUCUCAGAGCUCCUUUACAUAGACAAACUCAACCGCUCCAAUGAAGUCAUGCUGACAGUUUUCAGUGUAUCCCUCCACAAUGGGACAGAACCUCACAACUUCUGCAGUUCAAUCAAUCAAUCAAUCAAUCAAUUUUAUUCAUAAAGCCCAAUGUCACAAAUCACAAUUUGCCUCACAGGGCUUUACAGCAUACGACAUCCCUCUGUCCUUAGGACCCUCACAGCGGAUAAGGAAAAACUCCCCAAAAAAACCCUUUAACGGGGAAAAAAAACGGUAGAAACCUCAGGAAGAGCAACUGAGGAGGGAUCCCUCUUCCAGGACGGACAGACGUGUAAUAGAUGUCGUACAGAACAGAUCAACAUGAUAAAUUAACAGUAAACCGUAUGACACAAUGAGACAGAGAGAGACAGAGACAGAGAGAGAUGCAGGAUAGACGGUAAUGGCAGUAGCUUACAACAACAUUAUGAAAGUAAUAAUAUUAUAAUUAAUAAUAAUAUAUUCAGUUCUUGAUGAUGGUGCAGACAGAUCUAUCCUGCUUCCCCAAGCUGUCCAGUGUUUGGGCCUCACAAUGCAAUCUGAAACCAUCUCAAUAUGCACUUAAACCAUCUCAAUAUGCACAAAAUAUAGUGCAGGUGAAUUGAGCAUCUAUAUCCCUUGAAAUCUCCCCCAUUGACCAGCCAACUAAGAGACAUGUCAUCAAUGGAGCAUUCACUGCAGAGAAUCUUGGAUUGUCAGAGCACACAUACCCUGUGAAGCAGCUGCAAGAGCAGUAUCAACAUCUACCAUCCACCAUCAGAGGUAUUCCAUUACAGCCUAUCGAUCAUGUGUGCCCUCUGGUCCUCGUCGGCUCAGACUAUGCCCAUCUGAUUACAGCCACGGAGCCAGUACUCGAGGGACUCCCUAGUGGCCCAUUAGCAGUACAUACCAGGUUAAGAUGGGCUCUCCAAGGGCCAGCCAGCUUAAUCCAAACCCAGCACAUCUUCUCAUAUGCUCUUACCUGCUUUAAAAGUGAAAUGUUGAAGAAUGUGGAAAGACUCUGGCAGAGUGACACUCUGCCCUAUGUGAGACAGUCAUGAGGUCAAAACAAGACAAGUUAGCCCUUGAUCGACUCCAUUCCAAGACAAUCAGAGUAGAAAUAGAUGGUGAAAUGCGGUGUGCCACUCCACUGCUAAGAGCUCCCAACAUUUCUGUUCUUAAAGCUCCUAAGGAAGCUGUCCUGCCCCGUCUCUGUGCUACAGAAAGACACCUGUCCAAGGACCCUGAUUUGUCUGAUAAAUAUCAAGAUGAACUGAAUAAGCUUGUGCUACAUCCAGAGGAUCCCCAGGGAGAAGGGAGACCAACCACAGGAAAUCUGGUAUUUCCCACAUCACAUUGUUGAACACAAGAUUGUAUUUGACUACUCCUUUUAAUGCAUGGGACAGAACCUGAUUAAAUGUCUUCUGCCUUGCCCAACACUGGGUCCCUCUCUCCUUGGAGUUCUCCUCAGGUUCAGCCAACAUGCCAUAGCCAUCUGUGGAGAUAUCAGUGGUAUGCUCCAUCUGGUACGCCUUUUGAAUGACAACAAACCCCUACUGCAUUUUAUAUGAAGAAGGAUGCAACUAGAUCAGGAGCCCAGUGUUUAUGAAUGGCAAGUUUUGCCAUUUGGAAGAACCAGCAGCCCAUGUUCUGCCACCCAUGCAGUCCACAAACAUGUCCAAGAUCAUUGUGAUGGAAAUGAGGAUGCCCUUCAGUCUGUCCAACAUUGUUUUUAUGUUGAUAACUGUCUCCAAAGUGUUCCUUCCUCUCUUUAAGCCGAGUCCCUGAUUGACAAAAUGAGACCUUUGCUCGCUGAUGGUGGGUUUGACAUCAGAAAAUGGGCUAGCAAUAAUCCAGCUGUCAUACAACAUCUCCCCCCAGAUGCAAAAUGUAAAACCUGUGAACUGUGGCUCUCAGAAAAUGGUGACAACUGACACUUGGCCUUCAAUGGAACUUCCUCACAGACAUGCUGAGUUACAAGAACGGGUUCAUCACCUACCAUCAAUCUAUAAUGAGGAAUAUAUAUAUACAUGUGCUGGCAAGUCAAUACAGUCCUGUGGGAUAUCUGAUCCCUUUCACAACCCGUGCUAAGAUCAUUGUACAGGAUUUAUGGAAGAAAGAGAGAGAAUGGGAUGACAUCAUCAAAAUGGACAGUUUGUUGGAGAAAUGGAAGGCAUGGGAGUUGGAACUGCAAAAUCUCCCCGACAUUAACUUCCCUCACUGUUAUCUGCCCCCCCUUUGCCAACACAGCUACCUUAGAGUCCUAUAUGCAUGUAUUCUGUGAUGCCUUAUAGCAUGUCUAUGGUGCUGUGGCCUACCAUUUAGAACCUUAUAUCCUCAACAGUAUGAAUACUUAUGCAAAUGUGAUAUUUCAGUUUUUUGUAUUUUUAAUACAUUUGCAAAAAUUUCUAACAACCUGUUUUUGCUUUGUCAUAUUGUGUGUAGAUUGAUAAGGAAAAAGAUUAAUUUCAUCUAUUUUAAAUUAAGUCUAUAACGCAACAAAGUAUGGUAUGUAAGCUUUUGACCACAACUGUACAUAUUAUUUGAAUGUACUGAAAAUGUAUUUACAUGAAACAGGUUUUAUAGUAUUAAGUGGAAUGUUAACUGAAUUGAUUUAAUUAUUUCAAAAGGAAAUACUGCACUUGGACAUUGGAUGAAAAUAAAACAUAGAUUGAUGAAUGCAAUAGUAUCACUCACUGGUGGGAAAAGGCUGUCACUUUCGGCUAGAUUAAACACAGAUGAGUUUCUCAGCACUCGCUUACGGAACACUAUCAGGCCAUCCAACACUGAUAUUAGUGAACCUGAAGAAACAAAAAUUGAGAGUGAGCCAUGCUUUUAUGUUUUACUUUGCUUCAGGGGCGGGCUGGCCAUAGGGACGUUCGGGGUAUUCCCGAACGGCUGGUCUGUUUCAGGCCGAACUGGACGAUGGUCGGAACAUUUUUUUUACCCCAUAAAACGCAGCCGCGGUUGACCGCAGCAGCCUGCCCUCGCAACCACAGGUGGCACAGAGUGGAACGUGACACUGGGUCAAUCUAAUAUUUUGCAUAUUAAGGGAGGAUACAAGCGGCCCCUCCCAAUUUGAGCUGAUCGUGUUGUUUUCCUCUUUAAAAAAAAAAAAAAAGAAUAAAAGAAAGAGGAGCGGGGUAAAUUAGCAAACAUGCUAAAAAGAAAGAAUCUGGAAAAAGAGAUGGGUGGAGCUGAAAAAUUAAAGGCAAAAAAGAAAAAAAGGUUAGUGCAGGAUGCAGCCAAAUGCGCUAAAUUGACAGAGCUUUUCCGUGGUGGAGGGGCUAAGGUCAGCGUGGCUACAGUCAGCCAGGCCAGUGACGACACGGGCCCGACAAACCCGACUGGACCCGCGGGUUUGGGCCAGGUUUGGGACGAAAACAUAUGCAAAUGACUUGGGUUGAGUCAGGCCUCGGGAUUCCUUUUUUGUGUGUUCAGGGCACACAGAACAUUAAAGGUAGCCUAUCAGCAAUGUUACACAUGUAUACGUGCAUAAAUCAUUAAUCUGCUUCAUCAAUUAAAAAUAAAAUCCAUACUGGCUGACCAGAAAACGCACAAAUUUCUUUACUGCAAAAGAAAACAUAUUUCAAGAGAGAGUCUGUGUUCAAAGUUAAAAAGAUAGUAUUUGAAUAUAUAGGCUAUACAUCCUGUUUUCCUGUUCUGUUUCUACAUUAAUAUAUAGCCAUUUUUACCAGCUCAAGAAAAAUACAUUAAUUCACUUACAAUGUGUGCGUGAGUGUGCGAGCGUGUGUGUGUGUGUGCGCGCGUGCGAGUAUAUGUGCCGCUUUUGUUAUGUUGAUUUUUAUAUUGUAUUUGUGUUCUAACACUGUGAAUUCUUUGCAAAAGUGCUAUAACGUUUAUCAUUGUUGCUGU